rnacentral:ncRNA from 1 species
CGCCACCCCUUUGCUACUAGGUGGUUAAGAGGUGAGCCGAAAGGCCUUGCCUAGUCCCUCCAUUCGGGGCGACACUAUCAAAUUGUUCGGGGACGUCCUUAGAGCCUAGACUACCGCGGCCGAGCCGAAAGGUUCGGUGCAGCACCAGGGUAAUGACCUCGGGUGUGGUAAUAACGUCUAGGAUUGGGCAAUCCGCAGCCAAGCUCCUAAGUUCCUCGGAAUACGGAGAAGGUUCACAGACUAGAUGGUAGUGGGUACCUACGGGUGCUUAAGAUAUAGUCGAACCCUAUGGAAACAUAGGC